rnacentral:rRNA from 1 species
AUUGAACGCUGGCGGCAUGCUUUACACAUGCAAGUCGAACGGUAACAGGGUGCUUGCACCGCUGACGAGUGGCGAACGGGUGAGUAAUGCGUCGGAACGUGCCGAGUAGUGGGGGAUAACGCAGCGAAAGUUGUGCUAAUACCGCAUACGUACUGAGGUAGAAAGUGGGGGACCUUCGGGCCUCACGCUAUUCGAGCGGCCGACGUCUGAUUAGCUAGUAGGUGAGGGAAAGGCUCACCUAGGCGACGAUCAGUAGCGGGUCUGAGAGGAUGGUCCGCCGCACUGGGACUGAGAAACGGCCCUGACUCCUACGGGAGGCAGCAGUGGGGAAUUUUGGAAAAUGGGCGAAAGCCUGAUCCAGCCAUGCCGCGUGUCUGAAGAAGGCCUUCGGGUUGUAAAGGACUUUUGUCAGGGAGGAAAUCCCUAGUGCUAAUAACACUGGGGGAUGACAGUACCUGAAGAAUAAGCACCGGCUAACUACGUGCCAGCAGCCGCCGUAA